GGAUUGCGCGUGCACACACAUCAAUUGGCUUCUUAUUACAAAAAGGACUGCAGGAAAUAAAGAUCGAGAGCGCCAUUAGAAGUCGCUGAUGAGAACGUAACCACGCCAGAGAUGACGCCGCCGCCGCCGCCGCCGACGACGAGUGCAGCAACCGGCUACUACUGGACAUGCAUGAGCUAAGCAAGAGGGGUGUGCAAAAGGCUGCGCGCGCGCGGAAGAACUCACACUAGCUAGCUAGCUAGCAGCAAGUGCUGCAGCACGCCCAGCCAUAUGUCGGGCAAGUGCGGCAGUUACAGGCGCUGUAGUGGCAGGUCACCUGCCACAGCAGCCGGCGUCCAGCUCCGCGUUGGUCGCCCGCCGCCGCCGCUGUCUGCGUGGCCAUCACCAUGAGCAGUUGCGCCACCACCAGGAGCAGCAUGCAGGAAACCAUGGCGCCGCUGCGAGCCAUCGCUUCGUUCCACAAAAUCUGUAUCCAGUGUGUAUAGAGAUAAAGGAAAGUACUACUGCGACGACACAUAUGCAUAUGUAUAUAUACUUGAGAUAAAUACUAGCUGAUGCUACAUGAUGAAUUACCAAGGCAACGAGCAGAUGGACUCUCUUCUCUGUCGUUGGCGUCGGUCGAUGCUGCUUGCUGAGACGAGAGCGAAGGGCAUCUGUUUAUAUAGAUAGAUAGAUAGAGCGAAGGGUUUCAGUUCAGCACACAGCUGCAUGCAAAGAUUCCCAGCACACGGAGUUUUUUUGUUUUGCCCACCGAGAAGCCCUAGGCCCCUACCACACCGUCCAGAUUCA
rnacentral:lncRNA from 1 species